GAUGAACGCUGGCGGCGUGCCUAAUACAUGCAAGUCGAGCGAACGGACGAGAAGCUUGCUUCUCUGAUGUUAGCGGCGGACGGGUGAGUAACACGUGGAUAACCUACCUAUAAGACUGGGAUAACUUCGGGAAACCGGAGCUAAUACCGGAUAAUAUUUUGAACCGCAUGGUUCAAAAGUGAAAGACGGUCUUGCUGUCACUUAUAGAUGGAUCCGCGCUGCAUUAGCUAGUUGGUAAGGUAACGGCUUACCAAGGCAACGAUGCAUAGCCGACCUGAGAGGGUGAUCGGCCACCCGGGAACGUAGACACGGUCCAGACUCCUACGGGAGGCAGCAGUAGGGAAUCUUCCGCAAUGGUCGAGAGCCUGACGGAGCAACGCCGCGUGAGUGAUGAAGGUCUUCGGAUCGUAAAACUCUGUUAUUAGGGAAGAACAUAUGUGUAAGUAACUGUGCACAUCUUGACGGUACCUAAUCAGAAAGCCACGGCUAACUACGUG
rnacentral:rRNA from 1 species